UCUUAAAUAUAGUAAAUAGUAUAGUUCAUCUCAUGAUUGAAAAAGGUGUGAAAACAGUGAUGCUUAAUAAUAGAGAAAGCGUAUUAUUCUUAAAAGGUUUGAAUCACUGAAGGAAAUUCCUGCUGUUUUUUUUGAACUGCUGUUUAAAAAUUUGCAGUUCAGUAUGUUUAUGAAUAUAUAAGUAUGUAUUUAGCUGAUUAAGAGAAGUGGUUACUGCCCUUUGUUUGACAUUGUUGAGAUUUCUCCUGGAACACUGUACAUUCUUGGGUCCAUAACACAAGAACAUUGACAAACUGGAGUGAGCGCAGAGCAGAGCUAAGACCUCACUUGUUUUAGCCCUUUUUCUGUGCAAGAAGAGACACAGGGAACUAAACUUGUUCAAUUUGAGGAGAUAAGGGGAGGUCCAAUUAUUGCUUUCAAUUUUUCCUUCUGCUAGCCAGAUUCCAGAAGUUUCCCUGUGAGUAGCUGGGCUCAGUGGCCUCCAGAGUUCUCAUACAACUUGUUCCUUUGAUUCAUUGAAAGAUGUAGUUUACAGUAAUCAAAGCAGAAACAUAAUUUUUAAUUGAUGGAAGAUAAUAUUGUGUACGUAGCCUUUCCAAUGACUGUGGUUUACCUGUAGUUUUCCCUUCUAUUUAACAUAAUAAUUUUGAUUGGUUUUAAAUACAUAACCACAUCUGGUAACAAUUUGAGUGUAGAGAGCCUGUGAGAUUCUUGAACUAUUAAAUAAUGAUUUAAAUUGAGCUUUUAAGAUAGAACUGUUACUCUGACUGUCUUGAUAUAAUGUUGUAGGGGAAUAGUGAUGUGUUGUUGUUAGGGUCAGAUUCAAUGUCCAACCAUCCAAAGCUUGUUGUGUCUGUGUAAAAAACAUAAAUGAGGCGUACUGAAUUUCCACAGAUGCGCAGUCUAGAGAGAAGGUUUUUUGACCAUAGGAGAGGUCAGAAAACACGGAACAGUUAUGUUCUCCUGUAACAUUAUCAGAGUAACAUUACUGAAUUCUUCUAACUGCUCUUCAUGGUCUUGCAAUACUUAAUCAGAUAGCUAAUCUGUGGUUAGUUCUACCAACUUCCUAGCACUAUUGCAGCAGCACUAGUCAAUGUGAGAAGUUAUAUGAUCAGAACAGUAAGAAAAAAAUACGCAGUUCUGCAGAGAAAUGAGAUCUAGGAUUACACUCCGGCUUGGGUCUGCUGUGUGUCCAGUCCUUCUGAACAUCUUCUCAGUGAUUGAAGUGAUUGAUGAAUGUAUAUUAAUUGAUACUAAGGUGAUACAAACAACUUAGGAUGUUUAUAGAAUACUGUGAUGUAAUUGCAUGCCACGUAUUAUGUGGGAAAAGAGCUUGAAUGUUUGACAAAAUGUUUUUUGCCCAUCUGUUUAAGGAUGGCAAAUUUAUUCUAUUUCUCUUAUUAUUUCUUAAAGCUAGUCAAAGAUAAUUUGUAUACCAUUUAAGCUAAUGUCAUCAAAGCAGUGUUUCACUAAAUAAUUCAUAUUUGGUAUCAAGAGCCAUACUGUUGAUUGUUACGGUAAGAGGAGCUACAGUUUAAGCAAAGAAAAUAACGUAAGUAGGAUGACUUCAGAGGCAGACUGUCUUUGGAAACCUGAUGAUGAUUUUCUGCAUGUGUAACAAGCUUUUAAUAGUCUGUACUCUUGCAUUUUCUGUGUUAUCAAUUACAUUGAAACUGGUAUGGUACUUCACAGUCUGCCCUUGUGGCUUGACAGUCAAGAGUGAAAAUUGUAUUCUGCAUUGCAUUAAACAUGGCAUAACAAGCUGGUCAAAAGUGGUUCUCCCACUGUAUUUAGCAUUGAUGCGGCUUCUUCUGGAAUAUUGCAUACAGUUCUGUGCUUCACAACUCAAAAAGGAUGUUAGGAUACUUGAAAGCAUCAAAGCUGAUACUGAUGGCAGCAAACCUGGUUAAAGAGCUGGAAGAUGUCCUGUGAGGAGCGGCUGAAGACACUGGGACACACUGGAAUGGCUGAAAGCAGUAAGGUUCAGACUCGGCAUCAGGGGAAACUUUACCAGGAGGUUAGUUAGACACUGGAAUAUGCUUUCUAGAGAGGUGAUUGAUGCUCUCUGCCUGUCUAUGUUUGAGGCAUUUGGAUAAUGUGUUCUUAAUGACACGUUUUAAAUUUGGGUCAGCCCCAAGAUAGUUUGACAGUUGAUCUUGAUCCUCGUAGGGUCUCUUCCAACUGAAACUGUUCUAUUCUGAUACUUUUGAAACCAGUAUAGUUCAGCUUCAUCUGCUGUAAUGGAUACCUUUGUGGAAAUAGUUUUUAAAUACAUUAUGUUCUUCUCUUUAGACUUUUUAUUCAUAUACCAAAGAAAAAAAAAUAGUAUGGUAGCAUUGUCUUUCACAUGAAAUAUUAAACAUACAGGUUCUGGUCAUUUGUGAUUUAAAAAAAAAAUCUAUACCAAAUGUUUCUUAACCUCCUGACAAAUACUUUUUGCAUAAUAUAUCUACUAUUUUAAACUUAACAUGAGCAUGAACAUGGAUCAAAUAGGAAUCAUGUGUUUUAUUUACUUGUUCUUUAGAAACUUGAGUAGUAAUAUUUACUGGGUAAACAUUAGGUACCUUCUGAUUAUUUGGUGCCGUGCUAGGUAACCACAGUUUCAACUGAAUACUUCCUUACUAGUAUUCAGUAAAAAUGUCACAUUGGAAAGAUGGAUAGAUUUAUCCAGGACUGCCAAGUGAAUGUACUAAGUAGAAAUCAGUGCUUUUGAUGAAAAGUAAUGGGAAAGUUUUAAUACUACUUGAUCACUGUUUCUACUCUCAAAAAUAAAAGCUUACAAUGUUUGAAAUAGUGAAGAAAACAGUGCACAAGGUGCCUCCUUUUUUUCCCUAAAACAAAGUAUCGCUUUCAUUAUUCGGGAAAAAGAGAAUUUUUGUAUCAUGUUGCAUGCACUCUUAUUUUAUAAACAAAUUUGACUGAAAAAUAAUAGUAUGAAGGGUAACGUGUUGUUUGGAAAUUCAAGAACAUAUGGAAAAGGGAAAAAGUGGUGAAAAAGAUUCAUCAUGAAAAUGAAAAGAAGGCAAAGCAGAACUGUUUUUUUAAGAAGGGCAGAGCACUCCACAAGCUUUAUGAAAGUGAACAUGAGACUUUUGUGUACCAUUUCAUUCAGUACUGCUACAUUCGAGUAAGCAUUUUAAGGAAAGCUGGUGCUUGUAACCAGAAUUUUGAUUCUCCUUCAGGUGUGCAGUCUUAGUGUUUUUUUAAACAUUUUAAAUAUCCAUUUUGCAUUACAGAAAUCUUAUAUUUGCUUUCUUGAUGGUUUGUUUUACCACAGGAAAUAAAGCAAUAGAAUCUUGAAAUAAGAGGCUUUUUUUAAUAUCUAGAGACACUAAAAAAGGGAUUAAGUUGUGAACUCAGAAUAUUUAAAGUACUCUGCAGAAUUUUUAGUCUGCAAAAUGUCUCUAAUGACUAGGGGAAGAAAAGGGUUAAACCAUUUAAGUGCUUCAUUGUCUUUCCAUAUAGGAUUGCUAGACUGUUAUUAAAAUAAUUCUGUUUCUGAUACAUGUGCAGAUUUAAACAACUUGACAAGUGCUGGUCUGUUUUAUUUCACUACCUUGUCAGCAGUGGUGGAUUUCUCAGAGCACUGUAGUUCUAACUCUUUCUCAAAGUGAUUAGUCCAGAUACACAUGAAGAAUGGGCAGAUUUAUGCAUUUCACAGCUGUUGCAAGCCAAACUGUGGUCUGGUUUGAUAAGCAGAAACAGGUGUGAUGUUGAGUAGACAAAAAUAAACCUUUGAGCAUGUUAGCCAGGGUCUAUAAACCACACUGACACCUUUCUAAAUGUAUGUAAUUUGAUAACUGAAAAAUAGUUGAAAGUUCUUGCAGAUGUGCCUUAAAGGUGUAUUUAGCCUCUGCAUUGCUAUCAAAAUACAGCAAAUGGUCAAAGGAGUACUUUCAUCAUAGCAGAUUCAUAGUUCUGAGUUUUUGUAGUUUAUUCCAAAGUGGAGUUUAGUAAACUGCAGGGUUCUCUUUUCCCUGGGAAGGUACGUGUGUGACUUUCAUUAACAUUUAUGGGCACAUAAUAAUGGGCAUAGUGAAGGGUGAAUAGAGUCCAAAUAUUUAUGGCUUCAUAUUUUAAAAAUAUAUAUAUUGUAGGUUGAAAUGUGGUAUAAUAAGCACAAGAGGGAGCCAUAUAGUUUACAGACAUUCAUAGUAAGAUUAUAUUUGUAAAGAAAAUAAAUGCUUUGAGCCUUUAAAAAAAAAAGUAUGCAGUGGUUUUCCUGUUUUACUUUUUCUCACAGCUGCACCUGGAUGACUGUUUGUAGUCUACUAAAGAGAAACUUUUGUAAAUCAAAACAAGACGUGGAAUGCUCCUAGAGCAGAUGGAAGUACCACAAUACUAUUUAAUCAUUUUGGACACUGCAAAUGUUGUUCCUGUUGAACUCCACGUGGUUGCUGAUUGCCCAGCCCUCUAAUUUGGCAAGGUCUCUCUCCAAAGCCUCAAAGGAAUUAACAGCUCCUCCCAGUGUAGUGUUGGCUGCAAACUUACUUAGUGCAUCUUCAAGUCUUGUAUCCAAGUCAUUGAUGAAAGCAAAGUACCAUUUCUAUAUUCCAGAAGGGCAGGAAGGAGGACCUUGGGAAAUACAGACCAUAGUGGAAGGACUAAUCGUGGAAAUAGCAUAAAUUCACAAGUGGAAAAUAAGGCUUGACUAACCCAAUAACCUUCCAUGCUGAAAUGACUGGCUUGCUAAACAAUGGGUGGGUAGUGGAUAUUGUCUGUAUGGAGUUCAGUAAGGGUUUUGAUGCUGUCUCCUAUUAGACCUUCAUGGAAAAAGAACCUGUUGGAGUAUGGGCUGGAUGAGAAGACUGGGUGGUAGAGUGAGAACUGGCUGAGCCCCUGUAUGGUUGUAAUGAGUCCAACAAAGUCCACUUGGAGGCCAGUGUACCCCAGGGGUCAGUACUGUUUCAGUGCUGUACAACAUUAUUAAUAAAUGUCAGGAAGAAAAAAUUCAGUUGGAAGGGACCUACAAAGAUCAUCGUGCCUAACUGCCUCGCUGCUUUGGGACUAACCAGAAGUUAAAGCAUGUUAUUAAGAGUGUUACCCAAAUGUCUCUUGAACACAGUCGUGGAGCAUCAACCACCUUUAGGGAGACUGUUUCAGUGUUUGACCAUGCUCACAGUUAAAUUUUCCCUAAUAUCCAGUCUGAACCUCCCCUGAUGCAGUUUUGUGCUGUUACUACAUGUCUUGUCAUCAGUGACUAGGGAGAUGAGUCUGCGAUCUCCUUCUCUGCUUCCCCUCAUGAGGGAGAGAAACAGUGAGCAACUCUGCCUCCUUUUCUCCAACACAAAACAAGAUUGUUCUCAAUCUCUCCUUGUUGGAUGUGGCCUUUUUAUUACCUUUGUUGCCCUCCUCUGCACGCAUUCAAGUAUCUUAAACAUCCUUUUUAUUUUGUGGGACUGCACACAAUAUUCAAAGUGAGGCUGCACCAGCAGUAAAUAUGGAGGGAAUUACCUCUUUUUGAGCAGCUGGCUGUGCUGCGUUUAAUGAAUUCUAAAGCGCAGCUUUCAUCGUUUGCUGCUAGGGUGUGCUGCUAUCUCAUGCUGAGACUGCUGUAACCAGGUCCCUCUCUUCCUGAGCCCUCCUUUCACAUGUGUUCACCAUUACUCUGUUCCAGGUGCAGAACUCAGCACCUGUGUUGAAUUUCAUUUUGAUACUUGCCCAAUGUUCCAGACUAUCUAAAUUCUUCUGUGAGGUCUCUGUUCCCUCCAGGGACUUAGCAGCACCUCCUUGUUUAGUGUCAUCAGCAAGUGCACUAAGGAUGUGUUCAACUGCUAUAAGUUCAUUGAUAAAAAUCUUGAACAAAACCAGCUCUAGAGCUGAGCCCAGGGGAAUGUCACUAAUGACUGGCCAGCAGCCAGGUGAUGGGGCACAGAGUGCCCUCAGCAAAUCUGCUGAUGACACAAAAUGGGAGAAGUGACUGAAGCACCAGAGGGGUUGCACUACCAUUCAGAAGGAAUUUAACAGACUGGAGAAAUAGGCUGACAGGAACUUCAUAGGUGAUCUGUGAAUGUGCUUGGGGCCAAGUUGAACACGAGCCAGUAAUUUGUCUUUGCUACGGUGGGCCAGUGGUGUCCUGGGCUGCAUUAGAAGUGUUGGCAGCAGUGUGAGGGAGGUGAUCCACUUGGCAGAUAGGAAGCUUGGUCUGAACAUCAGGAAAUACUUUUUUACUAUGAGGGAUGACUGAGCAUUGCUUCUCUGCAGUUGCCCAGAGAGGCUGGGAUCUCCAACCUUGGAGAAAGUCAAAUGAUAUCUGGACGUGGUCCUGGGCAAUCUGCUCAGGUUGUCCCUGCUUAAACAGGGAGGUUGCACCAGAUGAACCCAGAAGUCCCUUCUCAUCUCCACCAUUCUGAGUCUGAAGCUAGGACCGUUCCUCAUUUGGCUAAUUUGGCCAUUUGGGUGAAUGGAAUAAUGCUGGAAAUACCUGUUGCUCAAACCGUAACCUGUUGCACUUAAGCCAUAGCACAACUCUUUAAGUAAUUUGUAGCAAAACCUUUAAAAAUAUGUAAUAACAUAAAGAAAAUUAGCAUUUGUUUGUAAAGAACUUGUAACUGUAUGUAUUUUAAUAGCUGGCUCUAAAUUUAGAAGUAAUGUCAAGGUCCAGGUGCUUGCAAACAGCUACCUUUUUGUAACCUGGUAGAGACAAAGGGUUCUUGUUGUGGAUUAAAUUAAUUCAGUCAUGCUUUCAUUACGUAUGCAUUCUUCUUAACUUGUUAAACUGUCUUGCUUAAAAGAAAUGUUAACUUAGUUAGGAAGCAGGUUUUCCUUCUUGCCAGUAAACUGAGGUGCCUUUAAUGAAGUAAAAGUUAAAGUACAGUGUAUCCUGCCAGAAGGUUUUUCUGGCCAGUAGAAGUUAACUUAUUAAGAAAUGCCAAUGACAGGAUCUCCUUUCUCUAACUUACUCUUGCAUAAGGAUAGCGUAAAAAUCAGUGAAUAAAGAAUGAUUGUCAAUUAAUAAGUAAGAAUUUCAGAGUUAAGCUGACUGGAUAAAGCCAGUCUUGCUUUAUUUCUCCAUACUGUUUCUAAUCUAUGCUAUUCUAAUAAUAUUAAUAAAUAUUAAUAAAUAUUAAUAAAAAUAUAAUUCUAAUAAUGUGUGUGAUUUUCCAGGUCAGUGUCAAGUAGAAUGUCUGGUCUCACUCUGUACUUAGCUUUAAGAUACAGCCAUUUAACUUUCAGGUGUUAAAUAAUGUUUGAGUUAAAUGCAGACAAAUAUACUAACUUAUAAAAUGCUCUAUUCAAGCAAAUGUUUGGAUGUUGGGUUUUUUUGUUUUUUGUUUGUUUGUUUUGUUUGUUUGUUUUGUAUUGGUAUAAUAGAUACAGAGUAUUUUAAUGCUUCUACAGAGUUUAAUACGCAGCCAAAAGUAAAUGUAUUUGGAAACAGAAUACAAUUUUGAUCACGUAGCAGCCAAUCCUCAGAACUCUGUUUUUUCUCUCAUUUAAUUUAUACUCAUUGGCAUGCCAAUCAAACAGUUUUUUUUUCAGAAGUAAUGUCAAUGUCACUAGGAAAAAAAAAAAAGGCACUGUUGUAAAUUCUGUAUCUUUCCCCUUUAUUUACUUAUCUGCUAUAAAUGUCAACCAUAGGAGAGAUUUAAAAUUUAAUUGUGUGGGCAGCUACAGAGGUAUGAUAGUGUUGCUAUUUAUAUUUGCUUUGUCCAAAUUUCAGCAGCUGAGUUGUUCUGCUUGAUCAAUAAUAAAUCAAUAGUCAGUUAAUGAUGGAAUAUAUUUAUGCUUUUCUGUGUUUUUCAUCUCUGUAAGGGCCAAAAUAUUGUAUUAAUCUGUUUUGCUGGCAGCAAACUGAAGAUCGAUUGUUUGCUUGUACUGUACCAUUCAGUGUAUUUACUGUAAGGUGGUUUAGACUUUGCAAACCUGGGCCAAUUUCCUGAUAUAUAUAUUUAUGUGUGUGUGUGUAAUGUGUGUAUAUAUAUAUAUAUAUAUAUAUAUAUGUAUGUGUGUUUUUUUUUAAUGUCACUUCUGGUAUAUCCCACUCCUGGCUAUGGUGACAGUAACAGCACAUCCAAGGGCUUUGUUGGACCAUUCCUGUGGCCUCUCCUCUCUAUGAGAGAAGCAGCUGCAGGCUUUGCUGGCUUAUGUGUGUCUAAAUUUGUCUUGGCCAGAUGAAGAGCUCAAGACCUUGCAGGGGUGGGAGGGCUCCUUCCUUCUUCCUCCGUUCCCUCCUUGCCUCCCACCGGAGCAUGGCGACAGCUUUGGGCUUUGAGCCAGCCGGACACAGGAGGAGGUGUUGGGCUGUUUGGGCAGCAUUUGCUCCUCAAACAGCUGUUCCCUAGCUCCUCCAAGGAAAAGGUGGCAGGCCAUAUGGAGGCAUCCUGUGGUCCAGAUUCAGCCGAUGGGUGCCAGUUGGACCGUGCUGGCCUAGAUGAAAAUGCAGGCACAUCCUACGUGGUGUCUGUUAUUUUUUAACAGCCAGAAUGUUUUAAAAUUGGAUGGGGACAAGGCAGGAUAAAAUAUAUCUUUCGGUUUGGAUGUGGAUCUCAUCUUUCUUUGGACAUUUGUGGUUAAGAUCAAAUCAGUAGGUUUUAAUUUAUUUUAUAUUCUGAAUGGUUUGCAUUCAUUUGUGAUCUAUAUCAUUUACUAGCCUAAAUGCCCUCUUUCCUCUAGAGAAACAGAGAUGUACUUCAAAGUUUAUAUGCCAGCACUAAGCAAAAUGCGUUUCUGCACAGUUUAAACCACAUUUGGGAGGAAUAAUACGUUUUCUUGUUAGUCUUGUGGUCUUUAAAGGCUUUUUUUAUUUUUUGAAGAUAGGGUUCUCAACCACCCUCCUGGUUGAGAAUGCAGAUAAGCAACUGUUUUUACAGCCAAUAGCAUGUAGAGCCUUUUUUGUUUUUCUGUUUGCUUUUCCAUUAUUUGCUUUUAUUCCUAUUUUUUAACCAAGUUGCACUUUCUGGGGCAGUUGAGUUUAUCCCCAGAGAUGCUGCCUGUGUCUUUUGUGGAAGUGAGUGCCUCAGUAGACACCGAAAGAUCAUCAUGCACUUGCAAGUAUACUUUCUCAUAUAAAGUUUGUACUUAAUGUGCAGAUUUAAUAUUUUUCCUGAUAUAACAGCAGUUACAAAUGUUCCAUAAAUUUAAAAUAUGAUAACAAGCUGAGGUUUCUUAGAAUGGAAUACUCAAAGGAUGUAUUCUUUAAGCACUACAAAAUUAUACAGGGGACUUAUCUUUGUUAAAAUUAGUAAUUUAACUAAAUUACAAAGUGGAUUAUCCUCUUCAGUCAGACUCAGUGCUAAUACUCCACACAGUAGGAGAUUGAUAUGUUGCUAAGUAAACCAAAGUUUAUUUUCUUGUACUAUCGCUUGAAUGUAACUUGAAGAGGAAGUGAUAAGUUUUUAGUUUUGUAUGUCUGCUAUAGUCCCAGUACAACUGGCUCCAGGACUUAGCCUCUCCAAUAUGCGGUGUCCCUUGUGCAGUACAGUAGCUUAGUUAUCAUGGUCUGAACUGCCACAAAAGUGGUCACUAGUAGGAUUUACCUGGGAACUUGAGUAGCUGAUUCACAGGUGCCAGAGCACUGUCCAUACUGUGUAAUGUUAAUGCUUGUUAGAAGAGGAGCGGUGGUGAGUAGGAAGUAUUGUCCCUGACUUCCUGAAGCAGUUCACUUCAGGCUUUCCAUCAAAGCAUCUUAUUUGUGGUCUGUGAUUCAGUGAAUCAGUAAUGGAGGUUUGUGAUGAAUUUGAGCAUGAAGCAUCAUUAUCUUGCACUAGAUAAAAUGAACAAGGUAAACUUUGAACUUCAGGCGGAGUCUAAAGAGUAAAUAAGUCCCCAUAUGCAGACGUAAUAAAGUUUCCUCACAAAGGUCUGUAGCUGUCUUACUGUAACUGCAUGAAGAACUACAGUCAGACUCUGUCAAUCUCAGGCUCAGCACGAACACAAGACAUGUUUCGUGAGGCCAUUUACCAAAGGAGGUAUAGGCUUAGUGCAUCUGAGGGGUGACUGGGGGGCUGCCUCAUUGUGAAACAAGCCCAUUCUCACCCUGUUUGCUCUCCUCUUCAUUCCUUCAGCCCCUGGGGAUCUGCAUUUAGCUCUGUGAGGGGACAGGAAAAGACAGGAAAAGGUAGAGGAAACUUGGUCACUAUUUUGUGUCAUAACUAAUUGGCUCUUAUUUGGGAAAAGAUAAAGAAAUAUCCUGUAUUUCGUGAAGUGGAUGUUAAAAAGUCAGUCACUGUCUUGCCUCCAUUUAAUAAAGUACCUGCAGGUUUGUAAGCAGGAUACUGGUUUGCUGUUGUUUGAAAAUGUUUACUGUGUCUUCUGUCAAACAGUAGUGUCCAUUUUGCAUAUGAGAUGGGUUGUUGGUCCUUCAGGCACUCUAGUUAGUAGCUGAUGUCAUGGUUGAGCUGUCUGUUAUGCCGCCGCUUUCUCAUCAACUAAGCACAAUUUUUUUUUCAGGUAGAAGGUACAAAAAAAUAGAUGCUUCAGUUAAAUUCCAUUGCACCAGGAGGAGUCAUUCUAGUCUGCUUCCGCUACACGAAUCCCAUAAUAGUGUGGAACAGUGCUUUCUUGUGUAUAUAUUGGCAGAAAGUAAAUAAAAAUUGCUGACAUAAAGAAUAAGCAAGACUGUUACUUAGAUUUAGUAAGUUUCAGUCCUGCGAUACAUCUUUAAUUUUAGGAUUAGAUUUUGUGGAGUAAGAUUGUCUUUCUUCCAUAAGAAAAAUCAUGCAACAGUGUACAUUUGUAGAUCUAAUUCCUAAUGCUUAAUGAAUCAGGCUGUUUGAAAAUUCCAAAGCAUGCCUCUGUAGUUAUAAAAUGUUAUUACAAAGUAAAAUAAUCUUUAGCUUUUUCUCCUAUCCUGUAUGGUGAACUGGCUUUCCCUUGUUAGGUUAGGCAACAUACUUCCAAUGGAAAAAAAGAACUCUUGUUUCCCUGUAGAUCACUAGGAUCCUCCGUUCUGAAUUCUUUAUUUUACUUAGCUUUAGGGCAGUUAAAUCCUCAGCUGCUCCACAGAGAGGAGUUUCUCUUCAAGGCUGCUGCUUCAAAGGAUUUCCAGAACUAGGAAAGGGACAGUAACCAGCAAAUGCUGACAGAUCUUCCUGCUUCUGGCCCUGAAAGUGUGUGUGUGGUGUGUGUUUGUGUUUUCAUACACCUACACAUUGGCCCGAAACCAUCAAGUAGCAUCCAAGGCUCAUAACAAAAUCUCCCCGUGCUAAUGAGUACACUGGAAAGAGGGGAGAAUCUGUAAAGAAGAGGAGGAAAUAAAUUGUUUGGUCAAAAGGAACAAACCCUUGGGCUUUUUGUUCAAAGGAAUUACAGUUAACAGGGUGGAAGCUUAAACUGUUUUUGGCUUUAACUUGGUUUUGAGUACUCUUAGUGUUUUAGUUCGGGGUUGCUGGGGUGGGGAGUGAUAUCUUCAGUAUAAUCUCAGCACUUGAUAUGAUGCUUUCUCAACAUAGAAAUGGAGCUGUUUCUACUUUAGCAGUGCACAAGAGGUUCUUGAGAAUAUUGAAAUCUGAUUUAGUAAUAUUGAUACACAGAUUGUCUGUUACUUUUCCUUGGACUUGUGUGUACUCGAAACGUCCUUCACAGAAGUUCAACCACCUAUGUAUUUAUAAACACAUGAAACUUAUUCAUGGGUCUGUCACUACUUGAAGGAUGUGUUCAGUGUUGAGUUAAAAUGCAGAAAAGUGAUUUAAACAAGGACUGUUUUCUAGUUAGGUAUUGCAGUAGAGUAGUAGAUUACUCAGGUGGGCGGCUUAUCUCAACUUAGAGGUGGUGUCUUCCAAAAAAAUGAAAGAAAAAAAAAGAACAAA